AUUGAACGCUGGCGGCAGGCUUAACACAUGCAAGUCGAGCGGGGGAAGGUAGCUUGCUACCGGACCUAGCGGCGGACGGGUGAGUAAUGCUUAGGAAUCUGCCUAUUAGUGGGGGACAACAUCUCGAAAGGGAUGCUAAUACCGCAUACGUCCUACGGGAGAAAGCAGAGGAUCUUUGGACCUUGCGCUAAUAGAUGAGCCUAAGUCGGAUUAACUAGUUGGUGGGGUAAAGGCCUACCAAGGCGACGAUCUGUAGCGGGUCUGAGAGGAUGAUCCGCCACACGGGGACUGAGACACGGCCCAGACUCCUACGGGAGGCAGCAGUGGGGAAUAUUGGACAAUGGGGGGAACCCUGAUCCAGCCAUGCCGCGUGUGUGAAGAAGGCCUUAUGGUUGUAAAGCACUUUAAGCGAGGAGGAGGCUACUUUAGUUAAUACCUAGAGAUAGUGGACGUUACUCGCAGAAUAAGCACCGGCUAACCCUGUGCCAGCCGCCGCAGUAA
rnacentral:rRNA from 1 species